GCCGAGACUAGAGUCACAUCCUGACAUGGCACUUGUCCUGGUGUGCUCGACCUCAGAGAUGAUCUGCUGGUAGGGGCAGUUGGUGUCCCUCUUAGUGCCCAGACCAGAAACAUGC
rnacentral:snoRNA from 1 species